rnacentral:lncRNA from 1 species
GUAAGGAGGGCCCCUCCCUGGUGGGCCCGGAGUGGGGCUCGGCCGGGCCAGCGGGCAGCCCGAGGGACUGCGGCUGGAGGGGAGUCCCUCGCUCGGGCAGGGGCUGCCCCGGGAGAGACCCCAGCUGGGAGCCCUGCCCCCUUGGGUGGGGCUCUCUCGGGCCUCACCAGGGCCCCAGGGCCCCAGGACCCCGCUCACUGGUAGCAGCCAGUCCCGGGCACGAGUCGUGGAAGUGGCCUGAUCGUCCUCUGCUGAUCACCGCCCUGUCCAGCCAUCCCGCACCCCACUUUGGGUGGGUGGAUGGGCCCGGGGCGCCCACAGGGACCUAAGUAGGUGCCCAGUAACCAAGAAGGAAGAGGGGAGAAGAGACCAUUUCUCUUCAGAAACGAAGACAGCAAGGACCAGGGACCUGUCUGCUUCCCAUAGAUGAGCACACUGAGGCCCAGAGAGGACUUGGAAGUGUGUUGAGACCCUGAGGUCUCCAAAAUGAGGGGGCCUGAGGCCCCCAGGCUCACCACUGACUGGAAGCCCCCUUCCUCACCGCCCAGGAUCCAGUCUGUCCCUCAUAUACCAGGACAGCCACUCCGGCUCUGAUACCUGUCCACACACUCCCCAGAUAGUCCCAGGCCUCUCAGAGCAUAGCACCACCUGGCUCCCACAGGGCCACCCUCACCGUUGCCCUGAGAGAACAGUGGCAGGAAAGGCCUGAAGUUUGUGAGGCAGAGAAGCCUGCGUCUGAGUCCAGCUGUCACUUGUGACUCCAGCUGGUGGCGCACCUGGGACAUCUGCCCCUCCCUGGGCAUUGGGUGGGGCAGCCAGCCUAGGGAUGGGGAGCACUCACUGACAGUUGCUACCACGCUUCCUGGCCCGGGCUCCUUCCAGAGGCAUCCUCCUGAGCCUCCGUGCUCACGCAGAAGGCAUUUAUGUUGUCCUGUUCAGCAGGAAGCACCGGGCCAGCCGCUGUAGGUGAUAAAAUGGCUCGACUUUGCCCAGCCUUCAGGUGGCCUGUGGCGUGCACGCCUUCCUAGUCCCACCAGGAGCCAUCGACCCCACCCGCUUCUCUGCCUUCUCUCCUGCACUCCGUCCCAACCCACCACCACCAUGGCUGCCCUGAUCGUAGAGAACUUCCGCUUCCUGUCACUCUUCAAGAGCAAGGAUGUGAUGAUUUUCAAUGGGCUGGUGGCACUGGGCACAGUAAGGGCAGCCAGGAGCUGUUCUCUGUGUGGCCCU